rnacentral:lncRNA from 1 species
UCCCGAAAGAAUUAAGUACUUAACCCGAGGUACCACUGUAGACUGUAGCUGAUUAUGCUGAUUAAUAAAAAGUGAUUAGGUAAUCAGUAAAAAAAAAACCAGCACCAUUUUUAAUCCUUGGACCUGUAUGAACAAAGAAGGUGACUUGUACUGAAUCAGACAGUUGGCCCAUUUUGCUCAGGAGGGUUUAUGCUGACUGACAAGAGUGCACCAUACAGUCUGAAGAAGAAGAAGAAGCCAGCUGCACUCACUUCAGCUUUUGGGAAGGCCUGAUCGCAUGAAGGAGCUGCGUGAGUACAGCUAUUUUCCAUUCAGAGCUUUGCUGAAUGCAGAGGCAUGGAGCCAGCCAGUGAAGAGCUAGGAGAACACCUCUUUUUCUGUAUGGGACAAAAGUUAAUAUAUUUUUGUGAGAGAAUAUCCUGUAUCCUUUAUUUAUUUAUUUAUUUGUUUUAAAAAAGGUUUCUCCAUGUGAACCAGGAAGCUACUUCUCCAGACAACGGAAUGACUCUUCUUUUUUUAUCUCUGCAACUGCAAUCUCUUGGGUGUUGUGGACACCGUUAGGCUGUUGAAUACACAUGUGUACAGUAUUCUCCUCUAUUUCCCUCCCUCCCACUCACCACCAAUGCGUGGCCUUGGGCACUGGCAACCCACACUACGCCACUCCUCAAAUCUUUGUUUUGUUUACCUAACAAAAUUUAUAUAGAGUGCUUUUUAAAAAAGCAGCUUCCGAAAGUGGUUUGCAAAAAUAUACACCGGCAAAUAAACUGGUAUAAAAAUGGAAGAAAAUGAGAGGCUGUAUUUGGUUUUUAGUCAGAUACAUAUCUUCCAGCAGACCACAGUCGUUCCUAUGGGAGGCCAGGAUAAUGAUCACUAUUUGCACAAAGCCUUUCUUGAUAAUCAAGAUGGGCUUUUUUUUGCUUAUUUUGAAGCAGGAGGGUGAAUAUGUGGUGUAACUCAAGCUGCUGCUUGGGUUGUAAAGAACAAAGAGUUGGUUUGAUAAGCCCAGGUGGAGGUGCUUCUUGGUCUAUAAAUAGGUUUACAUAGCUGUGCUGCUUUGGGGAGGACUUUUUUGUGGCGCAGAGGUAGGUGCUUGUUGCAGCCUAAGGAGACUUGAGGUAUUUAUUAGGCUUCAUGUACAACCUAGGGAACGCUUUGCAUAUUUUUGCUUUCCAGCUUCCUUUCCACAUCCUUGCAGUAUUCACAUCUAAUUAGGGAAGUUCAUGAAACAAGUUUUUGAUAUUUAACCAGCGGGUCCCUUGUGUGAGACCGCAGGGAGUAAGAUUUCUAUUCAUCCAGGAAAGAAAAGAUGUUAAAUCUGCAUCCCACUUCAAAUAAGUUUUUAAAAUCUCUCUCCCCCACCCCGGAAAUACUUCAGCUCAACUUGUGGGGGAAAUCAAUUAAGCCAUCAUAGGCUGGAGCUGGAAUAUUAACUAUAACACCAACAUUUAACCAGGAUUAACUCUUCUUCUUUUUCCUAGUAGGUUACUAUACCUUUCAUGGCAGGAGCAAAAUCCAUCAGCUGAAACAUUUUCCACCAUUACAACUGCAAGUAUUUCCUCUUCUGAGUUUCUGCCUAUUGCAGUUAAAAAUAAAGAGUCCACCAUCCAGCGAAAGUGUUGGGGAGCCCUAUAAAUAAUAUGGUACCUGAAUACCAGGUGUAGGACCAUAAAGAAUGCUUUAGCACUGGCUUUUCAGAAAACACCAAUGUUGUUAUCUGCUGUUUAAUACCCUACUUACCAAAUAGAUGGUUGCACAAUAAAGACUGUAAUGGAAA